GACGAACGCUGGCGGCGUGCUUAACACAUGCAAGUCGAGCGGUAAGGCCCUUUCGGGGGGUACACGAGCGGCGAACGGGUGAGUAACACGUGGGUGACCUGCCCUCAGCUCUGGGAUAAGCCUGGGAAACCGGGUCUAAUACCGGAUAUGACUCCAUGACGCAUGUUGUGGGGUGGAAAGCCUUGUGCGGCUGAGGAUGGGCCCGCGGCCUAUCAGCUUGUUGGUGGGGUGANGGCCUACCAAGGCGACGACGGGUAGCCGGCCUGAGAGGGCGACCGGCCACACUGGGACUGAGACACGGGCCCAGACUCCUACGGGAGGCAGCAGUGGGGAAUCUUGCGCAAUGGGCGAAAGCCUGACGCAGCGACGCCGCGUGAGGGAUGACGGCCU
rnacentral:rRNA from 1 species